rnacentral:rRNA from 1 species
CCCUUAGAUGUUCUGGGCUGCACGCGCGCUACACUGAUGCGAUCAACAAGUUUUUCCUAUGUCGAUAGACACGGGUAAUCUUUUGAACUCGCAUCGUGAUGGGGAUGGAUUAUUGUAAUUAUUAAUCUUCAACGAGGAAUUCCUAGUAGGUGCAAAUCAUCAGUUUGCAUCGAUUACGUCCCUGCCCUUUGUACACACCGCCCGUCGCUGCUACCGAUUGGUUGAUCUGGUGAAUUAUUCGGACUGCCGGCUGAAGGGGUUUCCUCAUCUGCCAGCGGAAAGUCUUGUUAACCCUAUCAACUAGAGGAAGCAGAAGUCGUAACA